AAAAUGUUGACUACUGUGUGUAUGUAUAUACAUUAAUAUAAGUUUUAUUAUAUAAGUAUAAUAUAGGUUUAGUUUUAUUAGAAUAAUUUUAAUAAGUAAAACUUUAUAUUUAGCCUAUAUACUGUGUGUGUGUGUGUGUGUGUGUGUGUGUGUCUUAUAUAUAAUUUUGUUUUAUUUUAAAGGCUGAUAUAAAUACAAAAAGAACAAGCUCAUUAAAUUUGGCAUAGACAUUUGCUUAUAAAAUUGCUUUAACGAUUAUGUGCUCUUAAAGCACGCGUGCAAGCAAGACGUUUGGGCCUUUACAGCAGAGAGUUACACACGCACACAUUUCAGGAUCCAGCGUCUGGCUGUAUGUGUCCCUGAAAAGUAAAUGCGAAAUCAGCAGCACUCAAAUCACAUUUCUUGGACAUGGAAGGGGGCGAUUCCUGACUGUGCAGCUUAACUGAACCUUUUACGACGGCUCCAAGAAAUCCACACACUAUUCGCUCGCCUUGCUCCAUGGUGACACCCACAUCUCUGGCAGCUUAGCGAUUUACAUUUUAGCAUAAUGCCAGCCAUAGAGGAGGCACAAGGCAAGGGCGAUAAGUUACAAAGUGCUCCGGGGGUAAACCUUGUAAGAGAGGUUUUGGAGCUAUUUACAGUGCUUCAGAAAUCCUUCAAAGAUGCGCCAAUUGGGGAGGAGAUUGUUCGCAGCAGUGCAUGCUUCGCGCACAAAACGCAACACAAUGCGCGAGGAGCGCGACGUGACCAGAUGGCACUAAUUCGAAUAUCCUCAUUUUAUCGCAUGCUUUUGAGGGGAAAAAAUGUGGUCGGGGGAGAGAGAGUAUUCAAACGUGGAGCGGCCCAGACAAUAAGAAGAAGCGGGCGUGCUCUGAAUAGCCCAAUCUCUGCGCAGGCCAAUCCGCUGGCGUCCCUCGGCCGGUAAACAGGGGCGGACCUCCCGCCGAAACAGAGAAAGAGCUCAGAAGAGUCGGUGUUUUCCUGCAGAAAGUUUGCGUAACUCUCACUUUGCUUCAUGUAGCAUUGCUCAGACGAUGCACGGUGCGUAUUGAGUUUUGAGUAUUGAGGUGACUGUUGACACACAGUAGAAAGAAAUACUAACAGUAGGCCUAUAUUUAUGGACUUUUUUACGAAAUGACACAUUAACAUGAAUAACACAUUAAUUUGAAAUAACAAUAUUUUGAGAAAGAAUAAAGGAAUAAUACUACAAAUAAUAAAUAAAAAUAAAUCAAUCAAUAAACUAAAAUUAAUACAUGAAAAUAAAUAAAUACAGCUGAAAUCAAAAUACACCUGGAAUUUUAUAGUGUAGCUAAAAUGUCCCCAUCAGUGAAAAAAACAACAUCCAUUAAUUAAGUAUAACAUAUUUCAAGGGAGAAUAAAAAAUAAAAUUAAAUAAAUAAAUAUAGCUAAACUACAAGACUAUGAUAUAUGAUGAUAUUUUAAUUUUUUAUUGUAAUCAUUUUUUUAUUUAUUUAUUUACACUUUAUUUUACAGUGUCCUUGUUACAUGUGCUUACUAUUGUAAUAGUAAUUAAUUAUGCAUAAAUUAAACCCUAAACCAAACCCUGAUCCUAACCCUAACUAUAUAGUAAGCACACAUAGUUAAUUAAUAUUACUCAGUACUUAAAAUGUAUAAUUACAGUAUAUAUAACAAGGACAAAAUAAAAUGUAACCAAUCAUUUUAAUAUGAGUACAAUAUUAUUGAUUAAUUUUAAUAUUUACUUGAUUUUCUGUUUUACAGACUGAAGUAAUUACAGAAGGAACAAGCUCCUUAAAUCUGGCAUAGACAAACAAUAAAUUAAUUAUAUAUAAAAAAAUUCAUUUAAUUUUAUGAAGCAUCAACUUUUUCAGAUUGUUCUCCUUAGGAAAUGCACCAAAAUUAGGAAGAUGUUGAUAAACAGUGAAGAGAAUUCAAUAAAUAACAAUGUAUUUAUUGACUACUAACAAAUUAUGUAUUAAAAAAAACAUAUUUGAAGAGAGAAAAUAAAUAAACAUCAAUAAAAAAUAAAAUACCAAAGUACAUCUUGCGUUACAAAGUGUAAAAAGUCCACAUCUCUGACUUCAUUCUGUGUCUUUCUUUCAGGAGAAACAUCUGAGGAGCAGGUGACGUCCUCAACCAGAAACAACUGAUUUGUGAUUUUAUUUUCAGGAUGCUCUUGGCCUUCUCCCGGAGGAUUGUGGGUAGAUUGCCGACGAUCCCGAGAAGAAGCGAGCGAAGUGAGACCCUUCAAACUUUCUUUGCCAUUCCUCAAUUCUGUUUUCCCCCAAACAAAGAUUUAUACAUAUUUAUAUGAGCCGAUUGACGGGAAGGUGGUCCGGAGGAGGGGAGCAGAAGCGGCGGAACUGCAGAGGUAAACUUUAUGUAAAUGCCAUAAAGUAAUAGACUUGUAGUGCAAAUCACACCAUUUUAUCUUUAAUUUUGCCGAGCCGCCCCUUCCCAGCAUCCUCUCGGCAUCUCUACGGCACGUCCCAUCUCUCCCUCCCCCAAAGUCCUCUUUCCGUGGGCUUAAAGGUGCAUCGGAGAUAUGCAUUUAAGCAUAUUCAGAACACGGGGCGUGAAAUUAAAUGUGUGACAGAGUGGGAAAAAUAUACAGGCACGGGAGAUGCCUUAAAAAUAGUCAUUUAUGCAGAUGGAAAAGGAGGGGAGUUGAAAAUCAUUUGCGACAGGAUGACCCUCUCCGCAAGCUGUCUACCUCUCACUGUUCUCGGCCCUAAUCUCUCGCUGUAUCUUCAUUUUUCAUUGAACUCGCCAGUUUGCUGCUAAGCAGCCUUGUAGAUAAGGCGAAGUGCUAAAAGGAGACAACUGAAGGUGCUCAGUGGGUCCGUUUCUAUUGCACUUUCACCCAAGGCAAUGGGCAGAAUUUAACGGAUUCCUUCCAACAUAUGUUUUUGCCAGAUAAGUAAACAGUGUGUGUCGGCAAGGAAGAAAAAAAAAAGCAUUUGCAAUUUAAUGACAUUACAGCUCCCAGCUUAGCCCUUCUGUGCUGCCAGGCGCCGAGUGGAGAAAAGGAAAGAGCGGAAGAAUGGAACCGGGUGUCAUCAGCGCACAUGUGUGUGUGUGUGUGUUUCCUCUUUUUCCCAUCUCUCUGCUCCUCAUUCUUGUCGCUGCUUCGUUCUCUUCCGCAGACUUUCCUCAAGUUUGUGGCAGAAGCUUUUUUUAGUCUAGGGCUCGAAAACGUUGAUGGGGCCGUGAGAGAAAAUUCUGAAUUUGAGUUCUGGAUCCGGGUCUGGAAUUUGGACUGAACUGGCCACGCCCCACGGGAUGCCGAAGAGGAUUUCCCAAAAAAUGAAGGAAAAUCAUUACAACAAUAUGAGCAAGAAUUAGAGUAGAACUACUUAGGUGUUUGUCCAUUUUAAUUCCAUUUGGUGUCGAUUAGAUAAAAAAAAGUUAUUUCAUUUAAUGUAAUGCUAUUUAAAUCAGAAUCUCUCUAUUAGCCAAGUAUCCAA
ensembl:lncRNA